rnacentral:rRNA from 1 species
GACGAACGCUGGCGGCGUGCUUAACACAUGCAAGUCGAACGGAAAGGCCCUGCUUUUGUGGGGUGCUCGUGUGGCGAACGGGUGAGUAACACGUGAGUAACCUGCCCUUGACUUUGGGAUAACUUCAGGAAACUGGGGCUAAUACAGGAUAGGAGCUCCUGCUGCAUGGUGGGGGUUGGAAAGUUUCGGCGGUUGGGGAUGGACUCGCGGCUUAUCAGCUUGUUGGUGUGGUAGUGGCUUACCAAGGCUUUGACGGGUAGCCGGCAUGAGAGGGUGACCGGCCACAUUGGGACUGGGAUACGGCCCAGACUCCUACGUGAGGCAGCAGUGGGGAAUAUGACACAAUUGGCGGAAGUCUGAUGCAGCAACGCCGCGAUCGGGAUGACGGCCUUCGGGUUGUAAACCGCUUUCUCCUGUGACGAAGCGUGAGUGACGGUAAUUGGUAAAGAAGCACCGGCUAACUACGUG